rnacentral:rRNA from 1 species
GCCCAGACUCCUACGGGAGGCAGCAGUGGGGAAUAUUGCACAAUGGGGGAAACCCUGAUGCAGCGACGCCGCGUGAGUGAAGAAGUCUUUCGGUAUGUAAAGCUCUAUCAGCAGGGAAGAAAAUGACGGUACCUGAUUAAGAAGCCCCGGCUAACUACGUGCCAGCAGCCGCGGUAAUACGUAGGGGGCAAGCGUUAUCCGGAUUUACUGGGUGUAAAGGGAGCGUAGACGGUUAUGUAAGUCUGGAGUGAAAGCCCGGGGCCCAACCCCGGGACUGCUUUGGAAACUGUGUAACUGGAGUACAGGAGGGGCAGGCGGAAUUCCUGGUGUAGCGGUGAAAUGCGUAGAUAUCAGGAGGAACACCGGCGGCGAAGGCGGCUUACUGGACUGUAACUGACGUUGAGGCUCGAAAGCGUGGGGAGCAAACAGGAUUAGAUACCCGUGUAC